rnacentral:rRNA from 1 species
UACGUAGGGGGCAAGCGUUGUCCGGAAUCAUUGGGCGUAAAGAGCUCGUAGGCGGUCAGUCGCGUCUGCUGUGAAAACUCGGGGCUUAACCCCGGGCCUGCAGUGGGUACGGGCUGACUAGAGUGCGGUAGGGGAGACUGGAAUUCCUGGUGUAGCGGUGAAAUGCGCAGAUAUCAGGAGGAACACCGGUGGCGAAGGCGGGUCUCUGGGCCGUAACUGACGCUGAGGAGCGAAAGCGUGGGGAGCGAACAGG